GACGAACGCUGGCGGCGUGCUUAACACAUGCAAGUCGAACGGAAAGGCCCUGCUUUUGUGGGGUGCUCGAGUGGCGAACGGGUGAGUAACACGUGAGUAACCUGCCCUUGACUUUGGGAUAACUUCAGGAAACUGGGGCUAAUACCGGAUAGGAGCUCCUGCUGCAUGGUGGGGGUUGGAAAGUUUCGGCGGUUGGGGAUGGACUCGCGGCUUAUCAGCUUGUUGGUGGGGUAGUGGCUUACCAAGGCUUUGACGGGUAGCCGGCCUGAGAGGGUGACCGGCCACAUUGGGACUGAGAUACGGCCCAGACGCCUACGGGAGGCAGCAGUGGGGAAUAUUGCACAAUGGGCGGAAGCCUGAUGCAGCAACGCCGCGUGCGGGAUGGCGGCCUUCGGGUUGUAAACCGCUUUCGCCUGUGACGAAGCGUGAGUGACGGUAAUGGGUAAAGAAGCACCGGCUAACUACGUG
rnacentral:rRNA from 1 species